AAAAGGAAGAAAUAAAAUGGACAACAUUCAAAAAAAAAAAAGAAGAAAUAACAAAGGGGAAGAUCAGUAAGAACUUCAUGUACGAAUUACGAUUUCUCUCAAAAUUGCUUAACAGGCAAAUAAACCGGGGGAAAUACUCGCUCUCCACAGGACAAAGGGUGAUAUCCUUAACAGGAAAAGAGCUCCUGCCAAAAGGAGGUGAGAAGAUGCCAAGAAGAACCGAGAAGCACCCAGUGCCGGAUUCACAUCAGGUACCCUUCAUCAGGAUGGCUGGUUUGUCCAGAAAUAAUGAUACCCCGGGCUGCUGCAGCCCCUCCACACCUGGUCCCCCUUUUCACUGCCUAGCAGUAAACAGAAGCUGUGAUUUCGGAAACUGUAUACACCAGAGCUGGUAGCUUGAAUGGCAGAGCUCCAGCUCAUUCAGAUCCAGCCCCAAAGUCCCUUACUUCCUUCUAACGUGACUACAUACCAAGCAAGACAAAUGCUCUUGAGUCCCCAGCAAGUUAGGUCACUCAUCCACCAGAAAGGAGCGAAGGUGAGUCUACAAAGGAUGUGUGGGAAAAUAAUAACAAAAAGAAAACAGCUAAGAGCUAACAGAUGCUCACCCUAUUUAAAAGAACUUGAAGCAAGACCGAGUAGAAUGUAGAACUGAAGGCAAGAAAACGUCCCUUGUCACCUUUUGUCACAUACCCCAUGACGUAGCCUGGGUCAUUAGCAAACAUGUUUGGGGAGCAGUUUGGUAAGUGAUCCACUCCUCUUGGGGGAGAUGCUCUGUGGCUCAAUGGGAAUUGUCUGGUUUGAAGUCUAGAGAGAAGAAAGGAUCCUGCACCAGACAAAUAUCACCUACUAGUCCCAGCCAUCACCACAUGGAGCGGAAGAAUCACCCAGCUGAUCCCCGUCCAGAUGCAGGGUUCACAACCUUAGGCGCUAUAACAAAAUUGUUGAGGUAAGCCACUAAAUUUGGAGGUAUUUUGUUGGGCAUCAGUAGAUGACUGGAAUGCUGGCCCUCGGAAUCCUCACCUGUAAAAUAAAAAAUUGAAUUCCACCGGACUCCGUGGCCUC
rnacentral:lncRNA from 1 species